UUGACAGGUCCACCACAGCAGCUUCUACUGAAAAUGCUUCUGAUUCCACAACAUCUGAGAACAGGCAACCUACUACUGAACCAGAAACAACUCCACCUAGUACUGACAUUCCUCCUUCGACUGAGAAAGAACAUACUCCUAAUGAUUCAAGCACCACCAAAACAACUGAUAGGUAAGUAUAUUAUCAUUGUACACUACUUACUGUUAUCUUGUUGAUU